UUGUUAUUGAUAAAAUAGCAAUCAGCUGAUGAAACUUAACAACCAAAAUGUAUAACUGCCAUGAAAGUGUAUAGCAAAAUCUGAUUUCUCAAUUAAUGUUAAUGUCUUUAUUUAUUUGAAGUCUUCUUACCUGCAUCUAUUAAAUUGACGAUGAAAAUGCAAACACAGUUGGAAGAUUUGGAUUCGUCAACACUCGGAAACGAUAAGAUCAUAUAGCAACGCUGAUUGGGGAGAAUUUUUCUUUAAUGCUAAAGGUACAGGAAAACAAUAACACUGGCAGAAGGACAGAUUGCUCCGAUGCUGAGGCUGAGGUGCCAUAUGAAAUUAUGUAUAGAAGCAGCGCAAUUGUGUCGUGGUUUUUGCUCUAGAAGACUGAAAUGUAGCCUGGAGACUUAUAUACAAUAAACAGUGGAGGUACUACUACUAUUUAUAUUAUAUUUAUAACCUCACUUCCAGCAGUUGCGAUGUGUGGCGGAAGAUUAAUGAUUAUACCACAGGAAGAAAACUUAAAUGUAAACACGUUUUAUAAAUUUAAUGCUGUGGAGUAGCCUACUAUAACCACUGCCGCAGGAUAUGGUUAUAACCCAUUUAGGUUUGAGCAACUAGUUGAUAAAGAUAUUUAAGGUGUUUCAUUUUUCACCAUCAUUGAGUAUCGACCUUAAUACAAAAAGUGAACGACCAUCUCCUUGAAUUUUCUCGCUUUUUGCGAAUCCACGGCGACCCCUUUUACCAAUUGGUCGAAGAAGUACAGACUAAACCAUUCACAACAUUCACGUCGAUAAUAUAUCAAUACCGACCGUUAAUAAUCCUCAAAUUUUGGUUGUUAUCUUUGACAAUCUGUACUCCUUCAUUCCACAUACGACAGCAAUAGUGACCAAAGUACAGAACUGCAAGAAGAUCCUCCUGAAACGUUGCUGACAAUUUACAAGGCUAUCGGCCAGCCAUCCGGUCGUCAAUUACGCAGCACCGGUAUGGUCGUAUGGAUGCAGUGGAAUGCAUCAGAGGAAGAUACAUACGUCCCAGAAUACUGCUGGCUGCCUCUUGAUGUCUCCUGUAGCACUCCUAUAUAAUGAGGCCGAUAUGCUACCUGAAAAGGAGCAUAAUUAAUUGCUUACCAAGCAAUGUCUACUAGGGUGUUAUCGUAGAAAUCAGUCAUAUGCUGGAAACGGAACCGACUUCCAGGUGCAUCAAAAGGUCACUCUUACAAUACAUAGACGACAUUACGCAAUACGCCGACCAGAGUGUCAAAAAAAAAAUCAAUGGAGUUUUAACUUUUGUAAUAAAAGGUCUAUUACGAUUUAGUAGAAAAUCUGUAAACCAUCACUCCGAGAUUCCAGCAAAUAUGUUCUGUCUGUACACUGGAAUUAUUGCUUUUAAUCAUUAAAUAUCUGAGGGCCAGUAUUAUGAAUUUAUUCGCUUUCCUUGCGCAUAUAGACUAUUGUCUUUACAAAGGCUUCGUGAGGUAAAUCUGCAAAUUUCCCAUAAUAUUUUUACUCUUUCUGUAGAAAUUUUUCUUUAAUAUACGUUGAAAACAGUUUCAUAUAAUGUUUGCAAGUGAAAGGAACUGUAGAACUCGUGGGUGAUCCAAUUGCAGGUUCAUGCUACGCCUUGGAGAAUUAUUUACAAAGUCUUAAGCGUAUUGUACGAAAACCGACGGAAAUUCUUCAACAUAUUUUUAGGAAAAUUAUAGGAGAUACUAUCAAAGUUUCAACUAAUUUAGAGCAGCCAAAAUUAUUAGGAGGAAACAAGUUCGAAUCAUCUGUACUUUGUAGACAUAAGUAUAUUUAUUUACUUAUUUUAGAUCAACUGCAAAUUUGCACGACAGCAAUAGUCGAUAUGAAGGUUGUUAUAAAUAAGGAGAAUCGUCACAUUGUAGAGUAAACGUCUUUAAUAGCAGAAUUUCCAAAUCAAGUGUGGAGGCAGUAGAAAGUUUAAAAAUGACGGCAAUCACGAAUGCUAUACUAUGAAAUCUCGUUUUAACUCGACAGGAGUGGUUAAACAUCUUAAAGAGAGAUUGGCGAUCCUGUUGUCCAGUAUUAUUAUACAUAUACAGUUUAUGGAAAAAAAUCUUGAAGAAGUUUUGAGAACUUUUACUCCACCUAUUAGGGUAAGUAUUUCAAUACUGUUUACAUUUUUUCAAUAUAUUCAUAUGUAUGUAUGUAACUCUGUUACGUUACUCAAUCAAAUAUUAUGUAAAUAAAAAAUAAAAAUGGAAUAUUAACAUAUAAAAAUUGUUUUCUGUAUUAUUAAACGAUAAAAGAUAUGAACUAGAUGACAUUAUUAGUGAAAAAUAGAAAGUGGAAGGUAGUGGGGUAAGUGGUGUAUAGCGUUAACUGAUGCUGCUCCUACUUGUUCCCACUGCACUGUAAGUGAGACUGGCGAGCAAGUACGUAUCUUAGGUCCAGUUUUGUAUAUUCUCUAUACUGCCACUUUUUCUGAUGACACCGCAAACAUAUGCGUCGAAAAACCUGCAGAUCGGUGCUGGACUACGUGGGAAAGAGCAUACAACCUAAACCGGAUGUUGAUAACCGGAGUAUAUCAACGGAAAUGGCUAUCAUCAUGGAGUUUCUGAUGUGAUCGGAACCAGGAACAAGCCACCUAACAAUUCUAAUAUACUAAAGGAAACGGAAGUCUCACAAGAGGGGCGGACAUGAAAAGAACGGAAGCUUUUCAGAUACAGGAAACAGAUGUUAAACACAGAAGUUGACUAUUUUCGUAUAUUUUGUACUCUAGGUACAAACACAACACAAAUAGGCUUGAACUUAACCUGAAAUCUUAAAAAAUGAAGUAGCUAAUUGGACGAAGGUCAAACAUGUCCAUACAGAAGAAAUUUGUUCUAUAUAAACAAAUUAUGGAGUCGAUAUGGUAAUUUCGUGCGCAACUGAGCUGCACAUAGAUUUAAAAACAAAAUUGCUCCUUUUUUAGGUCAAAAACCAUAACUCAGGAACUGCUCGACUGAUCUCAUUAAAAUUAAGUGCAUAAUAUUUUCUUGACACCCUUAUGUUUCCGAUGUAAAUCGGUUAACAACCACACCAACUUUUAUAUCGGUUAAUAUUUGAGAUAUUUUAGAAAUGUUAUGUAAGCUCUUGGAUAUAAUGUGUGAUUUGGUCCAGAAAUUUCCUCAACCUCAUAUACUAUUAUAUAUAUAAGGGUUUUCGUUAUUCUAGCGGACUUUAGUUCCGCUUCGUAGUUUAACUACCCCGACUUUAUUUUUAUACGCACUUAUGUAUGUAUAAAGAUUACAAAUAUAUGCCAUAAGAGUAAAAUAUUGAAUCCUCCUCUAUUGUUAUUCUCAUAUUUGUAGUGCUCUCAUACUCAUAUACUUUCAGCUUUCAUAUGCUCGUAUUCUAUAUAAAGUGUAAACAAAAGUUAUUGGACAACAUUUUUAUCACACUGCAGUCAUUAUGCGACUUUUUCAGAUAUGUAUUUUAUCUACAUUGUCUUCAAAGAAGCACGCUGAUUAAGAACUGCCAACAAUGUGAAUUGAAACUCCACAAUGAACGUGGGCACUAAGCAUAUUAAAGUUUGUGUAAGAUAAGAAGACAGCAACGGCUACUUAAAUCAUGAAAGUAUGUCUCAAUAAUGGCCAAUAGUUGGCUAUAUUUUAAACAAAGUCGAGGACCAUUUCAUAGUCACGCCAUUACUUGGUCUAUAAAACAAAACAAAAACAAACAGGCAAGAGAUAAGUGCGGGUAUAAUCGUACAUUUUAUACGCUCGCCAUUUAUUUAUUUAUUUAUAUUAAGAUAACACACAAUUUAUAUGAGUCAAAUUCGGUCCACUAGACUAUCGCUAUACAUAAUAUAUGGGGCUGGGGUAAUUCCGGUACCGAUUUCAUACAUUUUUGAUAAAAAAUUGCCCAAAGGCAUUCUCUCAUUUUCGGUAUCAGGGUGAUAGAAAAUUUACGACCAAAUUUCGCAUUUUCAAUUUUUUUAACCAAUCUGUGUGUAGAUAUUUUUUGUCAUCUUUUCUAUGACAUAGUGUACCUAUAUAACUUUAGUAAUUUAGGAGAUAUAACAAACUUUCUCAAAAGAAAAAAAAAAUUAUCAAAAUGUGCGCCGCCGGAUCUGUGUGGUAUUUUUUUUUGCUGAGGUGGAGCAAUAUUUCCUCGCAAACAAUGAUUUUUUCUAUAUUUAAUUUUAUGUUACCGUGUAGUUCAUGGUUUGAUAACCUUGCGCACGCGGACGGCUCCAAAGAUCUUGUGGAUGAGAGAGGUUAAUAACCAGAGGGCGUUAAUAACCACUCGACCUUCCAAGGCGUCAACGAUUUGCUCUAUGGGUUCUUGAAAAGUUCCAAGAAGAUACGAUGUUUUCGAGCCAAAUUCUGUUCAGCGUUGUGGCCCAUUUGUGGCUCAAUGAGUAUGUAAACAAGCAAAAUUGCCGCAUUUGGGGCGAAGAGCAACUUGAAAAUAUUCAAGGGCUGCCAUUUCAACGCCAAAAACGGUUUAUUGUCAAUGGUUCCGUUAUUGCGCAUGAUAACCGACUAUUUGCUGUCUGAAAUCGAAGCUCGUGAUCUCAGCGAUUCAUUUGGUUUCAACAAGACUUUUCACAUAUUGCAUCAAUUAAUGGAUUUAUCGAGAGAACAGUGAGCGUUUUGGUCUAUAUUAUUUUUCCUGUUUUCAGUCCUUGGAGCAAAACAUCACGCGUGUCCGUCGCUAGUCGACAUGCUCGAACGAGUCAUCGAAAAUUCGACUCAACGUAGCCGCGGCCAAAAUUUUAAAGUGAUAACCUUUAAAAAAUAAAUGCCAAAUAAUGUUCUUUCGAAUGAUAAUAAACAUUCAACAUAAAAUUUUA